rnacentral:misc_RNA from 1 species
GUCUCUCUCUCUCGGCUUUUUUGGCUGGUCAUUUCAUAUUCAAAUGAAAAACUGAACUUCUGCGAAUGCAAGUUUUUUACUUGACGCGAAUUGUCUGUUUUACCAUUAUGCGGGGUUAAUUUGGCUUCAUCACAGGUGGAAUUGUGUUGGUUUUGUAAAUUUGCAAUUUUUUUUUUUGUUUUAAUUUCCUUUUUUUUCGUAUUGAAGAUGCACACGCUGUGCUUAUGGUUCAUUAGAAAGUAGGAAAUGCAUCUAAAUUUGUGUUUAUGAUUGUUGAAUUGUCAGUUUUGCCCGCCUCUGUUUCUAAUUGAUCGGUUUUAUUACGAUCAUGGGUUUGGUCUGUGUUUCGAACUCAUGCUUUAUUUUUAUUUUUAUUUUUAUU